rnacentral:rRNA from 1 species
AUACGUAGGGGGCGAGCGUUGUCCGGAAUCAUUGGGCGUAAAGAGCUCGUAGGCGGUUCAGUAAGUCGGGUGUGAAAGCUCCGAGCUCAACUCGGAGACGCCACUCGAUACUGCUGUGACUAGAAUCCAGUAGGGGAGUGUGGAACUCCUGGUGUAGCGGUGAAAUGCGCAGAUAUCAGGAAGAACACCAGCGGCGAAGGCGGCACUCUGGGCUGGUAUUGACGCUGAGGAGCGAAAGUGUGGGUAGC